rnacentral:rRNA from 1 species
UACGUAGGGUGCAAGCGUUAAUCGGAAUUACUGGGCGUAAAGCGUGCGCAGGCGGUUUUGCAAGCCGGAUGUGAAAUCCCCGGGCUCAACCUGGGAAUGGCAUUCGGGACUGCAAGGCUGGAGUGCGGCAGAGGAGACUGGAAUUCCUGGUGUAGCAGUGAAAUGCGUAGAUAUCAGGAGGAACACCGGUGGCGAAGGCGGGUCUCUGGGCCGAUACUGACGCUGAGGAGCGAAAGCGUGGGGAGCGAACAGG